rnacentral:rRNA from 1 species
AGAGUUUGAUCCUGGCUCAGGAUGAACGCUAGCUAUAGGCUUAACACAUGCAAGUCGAGGGGCAGCGAAUAGAUAGCUUGCUAUUUAUGUCGGCGACCGGCGCACGGGUGAGUAACGCGUAUCCAACCUACCCAUAACUAAGGGAUAACCCAGCGAAAGUUGGACUAAUACCUUAUGUAUUCGUUUGAUCUCAUGAGAUUACGAAUAAAGAUUUAUCGGUUAUGGAUGGGGAUGCGUCUGAUUAGCUUGUUGGCGGGGUAACGGCCCACCAAGGCAACGAUCAGUAGGGGUUCUGAGAGGAAGGUCCCCCACAUUGGAACUGAGACACGGUCCAAACUCCUACGGGAGGCAGCAGUGAGGAAUAUUGGUCAAUGGACGCAAGUCUGAACCAGCCAAGUAGCGUGCAGGAUGACGGCCCUAUGGGUUGUAAACUGCUUUUAUAUGGGGAUAAAGUGGGGAACGUGUUCCCUUUUGCAGGUACCAUAUGAAUAAGGACCGGCUAAUUCCGUGCCAGCAGCCGCGGUAAUACGGAAGGUCCGGGCGUUAUCCGGAUUUAUUGGGUUUAAAGGGAGCGUAGGCUGUCUAUUAAGCGUGUUGUGAAAUUUACCGGCUCAACCGGUGGCUUGCAGCGCGAACUGGUCGACUUGAGUAUGCAGGAAGUAGGCGGAAUUCAUGGUGUAGCGGUGAAAUGCUUAGAUAUCAUGACGAACUCCGAUUGCGCAGGCAGCUUACUGUAGCAUAACUGACGCUGAUGCUCGAAAGUGCGGGUAUCAAACAGGAUUAGAUACCCUGGUAGUCCGCACGGUAAACGAUGGAUGCUCGCUAUUCGUCCUAUUUGGAUGAGUGGCCAAGUGAAAACAUUAAGCAUCCCACCUGGGGAGUACGCCGGCAACGGUGAAACUCAAAGGAAUUGACGGGGGCCCGCACAAGCGGAGGAACAUGUGGUUUAAUUCGAU